GGGCGGUCGUAGAAGGGGUGGGUCGCCUUGAGCCCUUCGAGGGCGCGACCGCCGAUGCGGGCGACCACCUCGUGUUCGUCCCACUUGAACGCCUU
rnacentral:tRNA from 1 species